AUGGAUGAGGUACAUGUUGAGAAUAAUAACCCCGAUGAAGCAAAUCAUGGUGAUGAAGUACCUGCUAAUGUUGAUGUUUCUUUGCAACCUGAUAUAUUCGAUCCUCGAAAUUGGGAUGGCCUUGAUUCUAAAGCAAUUGAUAAUUUGGUAGAGAAGGGUCCUAAGAGGGCGCCUAUCCAAAAGGGCCAUAAUGAUAAACUUGGUAGGAGAUUUUCUGCUGUGUUUUAUAGUAGAGUUUUGCCAAAUGGAGAAAUGUGUGAUAGAGAGUGGCUUGUAUAUUCUAAAGGGCUCAAUAGAGUAUUCUGCUUUUGUUGCAAAAAAUUUGGGAAGGGGCGUGCUAGAGGUCAUUUGGCGAAUGAGGGAUUUAGUGACUGGAUACACCUUAGUAUCAGACUUAGAGAGCAUGAAACCUGA
rnacentral:rRNA from 1 species